rnacentral:rRNA from 1 species
AUUGAACGCUGGCGGAAUGCUUUACACAUGCAAGUCGAACGGCAGCACGGACUUCGGUCUGGUGGCGGGUGGCGAACGGGUGAGUAAUGUAUCGGAACGUGCCCAGUCGUGGGGGAUAACGUAGUGAAAAUUACGCUAAUACCGCAUACGAUCUAUGGAUGAAAGCGGGGGAUCGCAAGACCUCGCGCGAUUGGAGCGGCCGAUAUCAGAUUAGGUAGUUGGUGGGGUAAAGGCCCACCAAGCCAACGAUCUGUAGCUGGUCUGAGAGGACGACCAGCCACACUGGAACUGAGACACGGUCCAGACUCCUACGGGAGGCAGCAGUGGGGAAUUUUGGACAAUGGGCGAGAGCCUGAUCCAGCCAUUCCGCGUGCAGGAUGAAGGCCCUCGGGUUGUAAACUGCUUUUGUACAGAACGAAAAGGUUUCUACUAAUACUAGGAGCUCAUGACGGUACUGUAAGAAUAAGCACCGGCUAACUACGUGCCAGCAGCCGCGGUAA